AAUGAACAGGUUCAUCACAUGACCAAUGAACAGGGUUCAUCCUCAUGACCAAUGAACAGGGUUCAUCCUCAUGACCAAUGAACAGGUUCAUCCUCAUGGCCAAUGAACAGGUUCAUCCACAUGGCCAAUGAACAGGUUCAUCCUCAUGACCAAUGAACAGG